UACGUAGGGUGCAAGCGUUAAUCGGAAUUACUGGGCGUAAAGCGUGCGCAGGCGGUUUUGUAAGUCUGUCGUGAAAUCCCCGGGCUCAACCUGGGAAUUGCGAUGGAGACUGCAAGGCUAGAAUCUGGCAGAGGGGGUAGAAUUCCACGUGUGAGCAGUGAAAUGCGUAGAGAUGUGGAGGAACACCGAUGGCGAAGGCAGCCCCUGGGUCAAGAUUGACGCUCAUGCACGAAAGCGUGGGGAGCAAACAGG
rnacentral:rRNA from 1 species